AUAAGGUUAAGUGAAUAAGGGCGCACGGUGGAUGCCUUGGCACUAGGAGCCGAUGAAGGACGGGACUAACACCGAUAUGCUUUGGGGAGCUGUACGUAAGCUAUGAUCCAGAGAUUUCCGAAUGGGGAAACCCAACAUCUUUUAUAGGAUGUUACGUUUGCGUGAAUACAUAGCGCAUUCGAGGUAGACGCAGAGAACUGAAACAUCUAAGUACCUGCAGGAAGAGAAAGAAAAUUCGAUUCCCUGAGUAGCGGCGAGCGAAACGGGAAAAGCCCAAACCAAUGAGCUUGCUCAUUGGGGUUGUAGGACUCCAAUAUGGUAGUUCUUUCAGAUAAUCGAAUGACUUGGAAAAGUCAGUCAAAGAGGGUAAAAACCCCGUAGAUGAAAUUUGGAAGGCACCUAGGAGGAUCCUGAGUACGGCGGAACACGAGGAAUUCCGUCGGAAUCCGGGAGGACCAUCUCCCAAGGCUAAAUACUCCCUAGUGACCGAUAGUGAACCAGUACCGUGAGGGAAAGGUGAAAAGCACCCCGGAAGGGGAGUGAAAUAGAACCUGAAACCGUGUGCCUACAACAAGUCAAAGCCCGUUAAUGGGUGAUGGCGUGCCUUUUGUAGAAUGAACCGGCGAGUUACGAUUGCAUGCGAGGUUAAGUCGAAGAGACGGAGCCGCAGCGAAAGCGAGUCUGAAUAGGGCGUUUGAGUAUGUAGUCGUAGACCCGAAACCAUGUGAUCUACCCAUGUCCAGGUUGAAGGUGCGGUAAAACGCACUGGAGGACCGAACCCACGUACGUUGAAAAGUGCGGGGAUGAGGUGUGGGUAGCGGAGAAAUUCCAAACGAACUUGGAGAUAGCUGGUUCUCUCCGAAAUAGCUUUAGGGCUAGCCUCGGAUUUGAGAAUGAUGGAGGUAGAGCACUGUUUGGACUAGGGGCCCAUCUCGGGUUACCGAAUUCAGAUAAACUCCGAAUGCCAUUCAUUCAUAUCCGGGAGUCAGACUGUGAGUGAUAAGAUCCAUAGUCGAAAGGGAAACAGCCCAGACCACCAGCUAAGGUCCCAAAAUAUAUGUUAAGUGGAAAAGGAUGUGGGGUUGCACAGACAACUAGGAUGUUGGCUCAGAAGCAGCCACCAUUUAAAGAGUGCGUAAUAGCUCACUAGUCGAGUGACCCUGCGCCGAAAAUGUAUCGGGGCUAAACAUAUUACCGAAGCUGUGGAGUACACCAUGAGGUGUAUUGGUAGGAGAGCGUUCUAAGGGCGUUGAAGGCAGAUCGUGAGGACUGCUGGAGCGCUUAGAAGUGAGAAUGCCGGUAUGAGUAGCGAAAGACAGGUGAGAAUCCUGUCCACCGAAUGACUAAGGUUUCCUGGGGAAGGCUCGUCCGCCCAGGGUUAGUCGGGACCUAAGCCGAGGCCGACAGGCGUAGGCGAUGGACAACAGGUUGAUAUUCCUGUACUCGUUGUUUUUGUUUGAGCAAUGGAGGGACGCAGGAGGCUAAGGAAUGCAGACGAUCGGAAAUGUCUGUCCAAGCAGUAAGUCUUGAUAGGAGUCAAAUGCUUCUGUCUACACGGAUAAGCUGUGAUGGGGAGGGAAAUAAUAGUACCGAAGUUCCUGAUGUCACACUGCCAAGAAAAGCUUCUAGUGAGAAAACAAUGACCCGUACCGCAAACCGACACAGGUAGUCGAGGAGAGAAUCCUAAGGUGAGCGAGAGAACUCUCGUUAAGGAACUCGGCAAAAUGACCCCGUAACUUCGGGAGAAGGGGUGCUGAUCUUUGAUCAGCCGCAGUGAAUAGGCCCAAGCGACUGUUUAUCAAAAACACAGGUCUCUGCAAAAUCGUAAGAUGAAGUAUAGGGGCUGACGCCUGCCCGGUGCUGGAAGGUUAAGAGGAGUGCUUAGCGUAAGCGAAGGUACGAAUUGAAGCCCCAGUAAACGGCGGCCGUAACUAUAACGGUCCUAAGGUAGCGAAAUUCCUUGUCGGGUAAGUUCCGACCCGCACGAAAGGCGUAACGAUUUGGGCACUGUCUCAACGAGAGACUCGGUGAAAUUUUAGUACCUGUGAAGAUGCAGGUUACCCGCGACAGGACGGAAAGACCCCAUGGAGCUUUACUGUAGUUUGAUAUUGAGUGUCUGUACCGCAUGUACAGGAUAGGUAGGAGCCGUAGAAAUCGGAACGCUAGUUUCGAUGGAGGCGCUGGUGGGAUACUACCCCUGCGUUAUGGCCACUCUAACCCGCACCACUGAUCGUGGUGGGAGACAGUGUCAGAUGGGCAGUUUGACUGGGGCGGUCGCCUCCUAAAAGGUAACGGAGGCGCCCAAAGGUUCCCUCAGAAUGGUUGGAAAUCAUUCGAAGAGUGUAAAGGCAGAAGGGAGCUUGACUGCGAGACCAACAAGUCGAGCAGGGACGAAAGUCGGGCUUAGUGAUCCGGUGGUUCCGCAUGGAAGGGCCAUCGCUCAACGGAUAAAAGCUACCCUGGGGAUAACAGGCUUAUCUCCCCCAAGAGUCCACAUCGACGGGGAGGUUUGGCACCUCGAUGUCGGCUCGUCGCAUCCUGGGGCUGUAGUCGGUCCCAAGGGUUGGGCUGUUCGCCCAUUAAAGCGGCACGCGAGCUGGGUUCAGAACGUCGUGAGACAGUUCGGUCCCUAUCCGUCGCGGGCGUUGGAAAUUUGAGAGGAGCUGUCCUUAGUACGAGAGGACCGGGAUGGACUUACCGCUGGUGUACCAGUUGUUCUGCCAAGGGCAUUGCUGGGUAGCUAUGUAGGGAAGGGAUAAACGCUGAAAGCAUCUAAGUGUGAAGCCCACCUCAAGAUGAGAUUUCCCAUUUCUUUAAGAAAGUAAGAUCCCUGAGAGAUGAUCAGGUAGAUAGGUCAGGAGUGGAAGGCCAGUGAUGGUUGGAGCGGACUGAUACUAAUCGAUCGAGGACUUAACCAAA
rnacentral:rRNA from 1 species